GGAACAUCAGACAGAGCUACAACCAGUGAGGGACAAAAGUGAGGCAGCUGCUGAAGAGGCUGAAUUGGUUUGAUCUAGAGAGGCAGUUAUGCAUAAGAGCAACCACUCUCUAUUGAAUUAGGAGAUCUCUCAUGCAACACAUCUCACCAAUUACAAGUCCCCAUUAGCCACCACCAUGGCUGGAGAAGAGUGGAUCAUCACAAAUGGUGUGACACCUGUGGUGCUAUCCCACUGUCAGUGCAGGAAAGAGCAAUAUACACAAGACAGUUCAGUUCCCAAGUCCAUCAAAAGCAGACGGCAGUUGCAUGAAGGUGCUGGCAAGUGAAAUCGAGGACCAUUAAUUAACCCAGGAGCAGAGUGAGGGGUUUCCUGUGGAAGCCAAAGGAGGGCCUCGAUCCCCUGUAACUGGAGUCCCAGAUUCAAAUCCUUGAAGAAGAGAGAACUCAUGCUGAGCCACUUGUUUUGCAUCCCAAAAAGGACUCAGGAGGACUGUACAUCUAUUUAGUGACAGAAUUUUCCAUGCUCAAUAAAUUCUGCUGCUUG
rnacentral:lncRNA from 1 species